AGGAAAACAGUUUUCUGAAAAUAUUGAUUUUGUAAAUCAAAGAGUUUAUUUUCCUA
rnacentral:tRNA from 1 species